UACGUAGGGGGCAAGCGUUGUCCGGAAUCAUUGGGCGUAAAGAGCUCGUAGGCGGUUCCGUAAGUCAGGUGUGAAAAAUCUGGGCUCAACCCAGGGGAGCACCUGAUACUGCGGUGACUCGAGUCCGGUAGGGGAGUGUGGAAUUCCUGGUGUAGCGGUGAAAUGCGCAGAUAUCAGGAGGAACACCGACGGCGAAGGCAGCACUCUGGGCCGGUACUGACGCUGAGGAGCGAAAGCAUGGGGAGCGAACAGG
rnacentral:rRNA from 1 species